CGGAGGAAAGAGUAAACAAAAUAAGCUUACAAAACGCUAAAGUGGCUAAAGUUUCGGACUUAUUAAAAGCCUCAGAUUUAGAGCCGAGUUUUAACAAUUUUUUUUCAAAUAAAAUUAUAUUGGACGAGGACACCUACAAUGAUGCCGUUGGAGAAAUUAUUGAGAGAGAUUUUUUUCCUCACCAUAGAAAAAUGCGAUAUCAAAAGGAAUAUAUACAAGCUCAAAAAAUGGGAGAUAGCCAGAAAAUGCAAGAGCUGAUAGCUCAAUUUCAAUCAGGCUAUGAAGGAAAC